ensembl:rRNA 5_8S_rRNA 5.8S ribosomal RNA
GACUCUUAGCUGUGGUUCACUAGGCUCCUGCAUUAGUGAAGAGUGCAGCUAGCUGCAAGAAUUAAUGUGAAUUGGAGGAGGUUGAUCCUCAACACUUGGAAAGCACUUGCGGUCCAGGGUUCCUCCAGGGUCUAUGCCUGCCAAUGUGGAC